AUUGUUGUGGCCGAGCGGUUAAGGCGAUGGACUUGAAAUCCAUCGGGGUUGCCCUUCGCAGGUUCGAGUCCUGCCGACAACG